rnacentral:lncRNA from 1 species
CAUAACAAACAUAUUAUACAUGACCCGGUAUUUAACGAUCUGAUACAGAAUGUCUCACGGUUAAAUGUCCCACCGUGUCUGUCACUCCUGAGACUGAGCUUUCUGAACUCGGGUUCCUAGAAGAUUUACAAACAUUUGCAAGAAUUCGUAAAUUUGCUUACUUUGCAAACUUGUGAAGUUGAAGGAUUUGCUUGAGACUAUCUCCUUGAUCUCGUUGUUGUUAUUGACAACCAUACACACAUCCAGGUAGCCUGGUGCCAGUCUGUUUGUGCCAUCAUGCCACUCCUUGCCACGUCAGAUAUGUUUGGCAAAUGACAAUGAGUUGACAUGAAAGCACAAACUGAUCUGGGACCAGAUAGUAUUAUUAUUUUAUUUUAUUUAACCUUUAUUUAACUAGGCAAGUCAGUUAAUAACAAAUUCUUCUUCCAAAUUAUUAGGGUUAGAGAGUCUGGUUAUUAGGGUUAGGAGUCUGGUUAUUAGGGUUAGGGUUAGGGAGUCUGGUUAUUAGGGUUAGGAGUCUGGUUAUUAGGAUUAGAGAGUCUGGUUAUUAGGGUUAGAGAGUCUGGUUAUUAGGGUUAGAGAGUCUGGUUAUUAGGGUUAG